CCCAGGGACAGUCUCAGACUGGGGGCGGGGCGUGGGCUGCAGGGGGUGGGCAGGCAGGUGAGGGAGGAGCUUGGGAUGGAGAAGUGACAGGGCUACUGGCUGCAGGGAAUGUGCUGGGUUUCCAUUGACCAGGGGACCUUCUGGGCCACUGCAAUUUCACUUUCCCAGAAAGUGAAACCGAAAUGGAGCCUGGUCAUGUGGCAGCAGGCGAGGUAUAUAAGGGGCCGCCUCAGACUCCUGCUCUUGCUUCCAGAUCUGCAGCUGGGCAGACGCGGUUGCCAGCAGCCCCCGCCGGAGGCAUGGAGUGUCCUUCGUGCCAGCAUGUCUGCAAAGAGGAAGCCCCCAAGUUCUGCAGCCAGUGCGGACACAGACUACCUCCUCCUGUGGCCCCCGUGGCAGAUCCCGGGCGCAGUGAUGCUGCAGCGGCCCCGGAGGGCGGCUUGGAGUGUGGGGAGGAGGCGAAGGAGGAAGGGAGCUCUUGCCUGUCCCCAGGCUCAGGUGAUUGUCAAGAAAGCCCAGACGAGCCCUGUUCCGAAGCCCCUUGGACUGUCCAGCAGGUGAGUGCGCCGCCCCGCCUCCCCGUUCCCUGUUCUCGCUCUGCACGGAGCUGCCGCCUGGUGCAGUUUCAUCCGUGGCUGAGCAAGGUGGGCGCUGCGUCUCCCUUGCUGGCCCCUGUGUCCCCACGGCGUCCUCUCCAGGGCAGCCGUGCUGCACAGCUGGCCCCCGCAAUGCCACUGCUGAACCCCGCCCUCUGGCCAGAGCAGAGCGGCCCCUUCUGCGCCUGACGAGUCCGUCGCCAGAGUCUCUGGGUUCCAGGCCUCUGGAGUCCCCGCCUUCCCCGUCCCUGCACAGGCCCCGACACUGUGCGUUUCCGGGAAGCCGU
rnacentral:lncRNA from 1 species